rnacentral:rRNA from 1 species
CCUACGGGUGGCUGCAGUGGGGAAUAUUGGACAAUGGGGGGAACCUUGAUCCAGCCAUGCCGCGUGUGUGAAGAAGGCCCUCGGGUUGUAAAGCACUUUCAGUGAGGAAGAACGCCUGGUGGUUAAUACCCAUCAGGAAAGACAUCACUCACAGAAGAAGCACCGGCUAACUCCGUGCCAGCAGCCGCGGUAAUACGGAGGGUGCGAGCGUUAAUCGGAAUUACUGGGCGUAAAGCGCGCGUAGGUGGCUUGAUAAGCCGGUUGUGAAAGCCCCGGGCUCAACCUGGGAACGGCAUCCGGAACUGGCAAGCUAGAGUGCAGGAGAGGAAGGUGGAAUUCCCGGUGUAGCGGUGAAAUGCGUAGAGAUCGGGAGGAAUACCAGUGGCGAAGGCGGCCUUCUGGACUGACACUGACACUGAGGUGCGAAAGCGUGGGUAGCAAACAGGAUUAGAUACCCUAGUAGUC